rnacentral:rRNA from 1 species
GAUAGAACGCUAGCUACAGGCUUAACACAUGCAAGUCGAGGGGCAGCGGGAUUGAAGCUUGCUUCAAUUGCCGGCGACCGGCGCACGGGUGAGUAACGCGUAUCCAACCUUCCGCUUACUCGGGGAUAGCCUUUCGAAAGAAAGAUUAAUACCCGAUGGUAUCUUAAGCACGCAUGAGAUUAAGAUUAAAGAUUUAUCGGUAAGCGAUGGGGAUGCGUUCCAUUAGGCAGUUGGCGGGGUAACGGCCCACCAAACCUACGAUGGAUAGGGGUUCUGAGAGGAAGGUCCCCCACAUUGGAACUGAGACACGGUCCAA